CGUCAGUAUAAUCUCAAGCAACCGCUUGGUAUUGGAGGAUGAUCUGCCUAGCAGUUCACUUCUUAAACUGAUUGGCAAGUUUACAUAGCAGCAAGCGUAGUAGAAAUACCAUCAGCUUAGUUACUCUGUACAGCUUUGUCAAAAUCAAACUAUCUUUAAGGUUUGACCUCAGAUCAGGUAAGGAUACCCCCUGAACUUAA
rnacentral:misc_RNA from 1 species